rnacentral:rRNA from 1 species
CCAGAAGUGCCCUGAGCCAACCCGCCAAGGAGGGCGAACGGGCCCCCAAGGAGGUGAUCGGUAACUGGGGUG